ensembl:rRNA 5S_rRNA 5S ribosomal RNA
GUCUACAGCCACACCACCCUGAACACAUUCAACCCUGUCUGAUCUCAGAAGCUAAGCAGGGUCAAGCCUGCUUGAAGACAGGGUUGAAUGUUUUGAAGUAUUUGGAUGGCAGGCC